rnacentral:sRNA from 1 species
AUGAGCAAGUGAUGUAACAUCCUUAAGAAUUGAGUACCUGUGAUAAUAAUAAAUCCAGUGUUCCGCUGCUUUUCAU